UGGGGAAUAUUGCACAAUGGGCGCAAGCCUGAUGCAGCCAUGCCGCGUGUAUGAAGAAGGCCUUCGGGUUGUAAAGUACUUUCAGCGGGGAGGAAGGGAGUAAAGUUAAUACCUUUGCUCAUUGACGCUACCCGCAGACGAAGCACCGGCUAACUCCGUGCCAGCAGCCGCGGUAAUACGGAGGGUGCAAGCGUUAAUUGGAAUUACUGGGCGUAAAGCGCACGCAGGCGGUAUGUCAAGUCGGAUGUGAAAUCCCCGGGCUUAACCUGGGAAAUGCAUUCGGAACUGGCAGGCUAGAGUCUUGUAGAGGGGGGGAGAAUUCCAGGUGUAGCGGUGAAAUGCGUAGAGAUCUGGAGGAAUAACGAUGGCGAAGGCGGCCCCCUGGACAAAGACUGACGCUCAGGUGCGAAAGCGUGGGGAGCAAACAGG
rnacentral:rRNA from 1 species